rnacentral:sRNA from 1 species
AAAAAAAAUACAAAAAAAA